rnacentral:rRNA from 1 species
GUGCAGCAGUCGCGAAACCUCCACAAUGCGGGGAAACCGUGAUGGGGGGGAAUCCGAGUGCCCGUUGGCUAAUGCUGGCGGGGCUUUUUCUCAAGCGUAAAAGGCUUGAGGAAUAAGGACUGGGUAAGACCGGUGCCAGCCGCCGCGGUAACACCGGCGGGUCCAACUGGUGAUCAGCAUUACUGGGCCUAAAGCGUCCGUAGCCGGAUGGUUGGAUUCUGAGUGAAAUUUUCCCAGCUCAACUGGGAAGCGUGCUUGGAACACCCGCCAUCUUGGGACCGGGAGAGGUA